CCUACGGGUGGGCAGCAGUGGGGAAUAUUGGACAAUGGGCGAAAGCCUGAUCCAGCCAUGCCGCGUGUGUGAAGAAGGCCUUCGGGUUGUAAAGCACUUUCAGUGGGGAAGAAAGCCUUGGGGCUAAUACCCUCGAGGAAGGACAUCACCCACAGAAGAAGCACCGGCUAACUCCGUGCCAGCAGCCGCGGUAAUACGGAGGGUGCGAGCGUUAAUCGGAAUUACUGGGCGUAAAGCGCGCGUAGGCGGUCUGAUAAGCCGGUUGUGAAAGCCCCGGGCUCAACCUGGGAACGGCAUCCGGAACUGUCAGGCUAGAGUGCAGGAGAGGAAGGUAGAAUUCCCGGUGUAGCGGUGAAAUGCGUAGAGAUCGGGAGGAAUACCAGUGGCGAAGGCGGCCUUCUGGACUGACACUGACGCUGAGGUGCGAAAGCGUGGGUAGCAAACAGGAUUAGAUACCCGAGUAGUC
rnacentral:rRNA from 1 species